rnacentral:tRNA from 1 species
GCCGGGAUAGCUCAGUUGGUAGAGCAGGGGAC